AGAGAGAGCGUGUGCACGA
rnacentral:misc_RNA from 1 species